AAUAGAUACCCGGGUAGUCCACGCCGUAAACGAUGAGUGCUAAGUGUUAGGGGGUUUCCGCCCUUAGUGCUGCAGCUAACGCAUUAAGCACUCCGCCUGGGGAGUACGGUCGCAAGACUGAAACUCAAAGGAAUUGACGGGGGCCCGCACAAGCGGUGGAGCAUGUGGUUUAAUUCGAAGCAACGCGAAGAACCUUACCAGGUCUUGACAUCCCAUUGACCACUAUGGAGACAUAGUUUUCCCUUCGGGGACAACGGUGACAGGUGGUGCAUGGUUGUCGUCAGCUCGUGUCGUGAGAUGUUGGGUUAAGUCCCGCAACGAGCGCAACCCUUGUUCUUAGUUGCCAUCAUUUAGUUGGGCACUCUUAAGGGAGACUGCCGGUGACAAACCGGAGGAAGGUGGGGAUGACGUCGAAAUCAUCAUGCCCCUUAUGACCUGGGCUACACACGUGCUACAAUGGACGGUACAAACGGUUGCCAACCCGCGAGGGGGAGCUAAUCCGAUAAAACCGUUCUCAGUUCGGAUUGUAGGCUGCAACUCGCCUACAUGAAGCC
rnacentral:rRNA from 1 species